GAUGAACGCUAGCGGAAGGCUUAAUACAUGCAAGUCGAGCGGUAAAAAUCUGAGCAAUUGGAUUUGAGAGCGGCGCACGGGUGAGUAACGCGUACAUGACCUACCUUUAAGAUCGGGAUAGCCCUGGGAAACUGGGAUUAAUACCGGAUGUGAUAAUAAGUAUAGAGAUUUAUUAUUAAAGCUGAGGCGCUUAGAGAUGGGUGUGCGUCUGAUUAGCUAGUUGGUAGGGUAAAGGCCUACCAAGGCGACGAUCAGUAGGGGGCGUGAGAGCGUGAUCCCCCACACGGGUACUGAGACACGGACCCGACUCCUACGGGAGGCAGCAGUAGGGAAUAUUGGUCAAUGGACGGAAGUCUGAACCAGCCAUUCCGCGUGCAGGAAGAAGAUUCUAUGGAUUGUAAACUGCUUUUAGCAGAGAAGAAAAGCCUUCAUUUAUGAGGGUCUGACGGUAUCUGCGGAAUAAGCACCGGCUAACUCCGUG
rnacentral:rRNA from 1 species